rnacentral:rRNA from 1 species
CCUACGGGGUGCUGCAGUGGGGAAUAUUGGACAAUGGGCGAAAGCCUGAUCCAGCCAUGCCGCGUGUGUGAAGAAGGCCUUCGGGUUGUAAAGCACUUUCAGUGGGGAAGAAAGCCUUGGGGCUAAUACCCUCGAGGAAGGACAUCACCCACAGAAGAAGCACCGGCUAACUCCGUGCCAGCAGCCGCGGUAAUACGGAGGGUGCGAGCGUUAAUCGGAAUUACUGGGCGUAAAGCGCGCGUAGGCGGUCUGAUAAGCCGGUUGUGAAAGCCCCGGGCUCAACCUGGGAACGGCAUCCGGAACUGUCAGGCUAGGGUGCAGGAGAGGAAGGUAGAAUUCCCGGUGUAGCGGUGAAAUGCGUAGAGAUCGGGAGGAAUACCAGUGGCGAAGGCGGCCUUCUGGACUGACACUGACGCUGAGGUGCGAAAGCGUGGGUAGCAAACAGGAUUAGAUACCCCUGUAGUC